rnacentral:rRNA from 1 species
GAUGAACGCUGGCGGCGUGCCUAAUACAUGCAAGUCGAGCGAACGGACGAGAAGCUUGCUUCUCUGAUGUUAGCGGCGGACGGGUGAGUAACACGUGGAUAACCUACCUAUAAGACUGGGAUAACUUCGGGAAACCGGAGCUAAUACCGGAUAAUAUUUUGAACCGCAUGGUUCAAAAGUGAAAGACGGUCUUGCUGUCACUUAUAGAUGGAUCCGCGCUGCAUUAGCUAGUUGGUAAGGUAACGGCUUACCAAGGCAACGAUGCAUAGCCGACCUGAGAGGGUGAUCGGCCACACUGGAACUGAGACACGGUCCAGACUCCUACGGGAGGCAGCAGUAGGGAAUCUUCCGCAAUGGGCGAAAGCCUGACGGAGCAACGCCGCGUGAGUGAUGAAGGUCUUCGGAUCGUAAAACUCUGUUAUUAGGGAAGAACAUAUGUGUAAGUAACUGUGCACAUCUUGACGGUACCUAAUCAGAAAGCCACGGCUAACUACGUGCCAGCAGCCGCGGUAAUACGUAGGUGGCAAGCGUUAUCCGGAGUUAUUGGGCGUAAAGCGCGCGUAGGCGGUUUUUUAAGUCUGAUGUGAAAGCCCACGGCUCAACCGUGGAGGGUCAUUGGAAACUGGAAAACUUGAGUGCAGAAGAGGAAAGUGGAAUUCCAUGUGUAGCGGUGAAAUGCGCAGAGAUAUGGAGGAACACCAGUGGCGAAGGCGACUUUCUGGUCUGUAACUGACGCUGAUGUGCGAAAGCGUGGGGAUCAAACAGGAUUAGAUACCCUGGUAGUCCACGCCGUAAACGAUGAGUGCUAAGUGUUAGGGGGUUUCCGCCCCUUAGUGCUGCAGCUAACGCAUUAAGCACUCCGCCUGGGGAGUACGACCGCAAGGUUGAAACUCAAAGGAAUUGACGGGGACCCGCACAAGCGGUGGAGCAUGUGGUUUAAUUCGAAGCAACGCGAAGAACCUUACCAAAUCUUGACAUCCUUUGACAACUCUAGAGAUAGAGCUUUCCCCUUCGGGGGACAAAGUGACAGGUGGUGCAUGGUUGUCGUCAGCUCGUGUCGUGAGAUGUUGGGUUAAGUCCCGCAACGAGCGCAACCCUUAAGCUUAGUUGCCAUCAUUAAGUUGGGCACUCUAAGUUGACUGCCGGUGACAAACCGGAGGAAGGUGGGGAUGACGUCAAAUCAUCAUGCCCCUUAUGAUUUGGGCUACACACGUGCUACAAUGGACAAUACAAAGGGCAGCGAAACCGUGAGGUCAAGCAAAUCCCAUAAAGUUGUUCUCAGUUCGGAUUGUAGUCUGCAACUCGACUACAUGAAGCUGGAAUCGCUAGUAAUCGUAGAUCAGCAUGCUACGGUGAAUACGUUCCCGGGUCU